GAAAUGCGAUAAGUAAUGUGAAUUGCAGAAUUCAGUGAAUCAUCGAAUCUUUGAACGCACAUUGCGCCCGUCAGCAUUCUGGCGGGCAUGCCUGUUCGAGCGUCAUUUCAACCCUCAGGACCCCCCUUUCGCGGGGAGGGACCUGGCGUUGGGGAUCGGCCCGCCCCCCGCGGCGGCGCCGUCCCCGAAAUCUAGUGGCGGUCUCGCUGCAGCCUCCCCUGCGUAGUAGUUACAACCUCGCAUCGGAGCGCGGCGCAGCCACGCCGUAAAACCCCCGACUUUCUGAACGUUGACCUCGGAUCAGGUAGGAAUACCCGCUGAACUUAAGC
rnacentral:misc_RNA from 1 species